GCAGUCAUGGCCAAGUGGUUAAGGCGAGUGACUGGAGAUCCAUUGGGGUCUCCCCGCACAGGUUCGAAUCCUGUCGACUGCG
rnacentral:tRNA from 1 species